UACGUAGGGGGCAAGCGUUGUCCGGAUUUAUUGGGCGUAAAGAGCGUGUAGGCGGCCAGACAGGUCCGUUGUGAAAACUCGAGGCUCAACCUCGAGACGUCGAUGGAAACCGUCUGGCUAGAGUCCGGAAGAGGAGAGUGGAAUUCCUGGUGUAGCGGUGAAAUGCGCAGAUAUCAGGAAGAACACCGGUGGCGAAGGCGGGUCUCUGGGACGGUACUGACGCUGAGACGCGAAAGCGUGGGGAGCGAACAGG
rnacentral:rRNA from 1 species